GGUGGCUUAAUGGUAGAGCGCUUACUUUUCAUGCAUGAGGCCUGGGUUCGAUUUCUCAGCACCA
rnacentral:tRNA from 1 species